CAAGUCUGGAUUAGCUGAUCCAAUUAGAGGUGGCUGAAGAUCCCUCUGGACUGCAUGUAGCCUUGGAAGAUGGUAAUAUCACUCCUAGAAUUUGAAUGACUGACAUGGAAUUGAAUGGGUCUGCCUCAGUAAAUAUAGGACCAUAACAUAAAUAAUCCAAAAAUCUAAAAAUGACACAACAAAAGUUACAGGAAUGCAAAACUUCAACCACACCCGAAUUAUCCUACACUCACAAGAAAGAAUACACAGCUGUAAUAGGAGACUCAGCAUGCAUGCCUCCAACAACUAAGAUCAAGCCUAUCAACUACAUUAUAGAAGAGUUUACUUUUGCUGAAUUGUUAUGUUCUGUUUUAGAGGUAUCUUUUCAUCACUGAAGAACACAUCAAAAGAUUUUAGGCUUUGACAUUCUUAUCCAGGAUAUGUUUCACAGUCUUUCAUCAGCCACUGAAACUGGAUUAGCACCAAAAAAUUUUUAACACACACUGUAUGUGCAGAGAAGAGACCAAGGGACCUUUGGCUUACAAAGAAUCUAUAAAAUGUGAUUAUUAAUUUCAAGGUAUCACACAUUUAAAAUAGAGCUCUUCAGCAUUCUUUAUAACUAAAAUAAUGAACUGAUGAAGAGCUGAUGAAGAGCCUGCCUGAAGAGAAUGUCAGAAUCCACAAAUACAAUAACUCACUUAACAACUGAGAUGGACUCAUAAAAACUUCAGAACAGAAACGAAACCCUGAUUUUCAAUUUAAUUUCCAAACACUACACUUGCUUCAAUUUACAAUGUAUUAGAGGAGUGGGUAAAAUUAGUCUUUAAAAUUCUCCAUUCCAUUACAGAAAUUGAAAAUAAAAUGUUUACUGCUAUGUAGUUCA
rnacentral:lncRNA from 1 species